GAUGAACGCUGACAGAAUGCUUAACACAUGCAAGUCGAUGGGGAAGUGGUGCUUGCACCCUGGCAACCAUGGCGGACGGGUGAGUAACGCGUAAGGGACUUACCUGCAGGACUGGGAUAACAGGGGGAAACUCCUGACAAGACCGGAUAAUGUCAUGGAGCUGCAUGGCUUUAUGAUGAAAGGAGACGCCUGCGGAGAGCCUUGCGUCCUAUUAGCUAGUUGGUGGGGUAAUGGCUCACCAAGGCGAAGAGAGGGAGCGGGCCUGAGAGGGUGGACGGCCACAAGGGGACUGAGAUACGGCCGUUACUCCUACGGGAGGCAGCAGUGGAGAAUAGUGGAAAAUGGGGGCAACCCUGAUCCAGCAAUUCUGUGUGCAAGAAGAAGGUUUUCGGAUUGUAAAGUGCUUUCAGCAGGGAAGAAGUAAGUGACGGUACCUGCAGAAGAAGCGACGGCUAAAUACGUG
rnacentral:rRNA from 1 species